rnacentral:rRNA from 2 species
UAGCGUAAUCACUUGUUCUUUAAUUGAGGACUAGUAUGAACGGCCCCACGAGGACUACACUGUCUCCUUUUUCUAAUCAAUGAAACUGAUCUCCUCGUGAAGAAGCGAGGAUAAAUAUAUAAGACGAGAAGACCCUAUGGAGCUUUAAACAACCGAGGUACCUGCUAAUUCUUGAUCUAUUUUCUGAAAACCAAACAAAUUUAAGCAUCUUACCUCUAGUUUUAGGUUGGGGUGACCACGGAGAAAAAAUUAACCUCCACGCUGCAAGAAGCCUCCCAUCUUCUAAGCUAAGAAUUACAUCUCUAAGCAUCAACACAUUGACUCCCAUUGACCCAAUAGCUUUGAUCAACGAACCAAGUUACCCUAGGGAUAACAGCGCAAUCUACUUUAAGAGCUCAUAUCGACAAGUAGGUUUACGACCUCGAUGUU